rnacentral:rRNA from 1 species
GUAGAACGCUGAAGCUUGGUGCUUGCACCGAGCGGAUGAGUUGCGAACGGGUGAGUAACGCGUAGGUAACCUGCCUGGUAGCGGGGGAUAACUAUUGGAAACGAUAGCUAAUACCGCAUAACAGUAGAUGUUGCAUGACAUUUGCUUGAAAGGUGCAAUUGCAUCACUACCAGAUGGACCUGCGUUGUAUUAGCUAGUUGGUGAGGUAACGGCUCACCAAGGCGACGAUACAUAGCCGACCUGAGAGGGUGAUCGGCCACACUGGGACUGAGACACGGCCCAGACUCCUACGGGAGGCAGCAGUAGGGAAUCUUCGGCAAUGGACGGAAGUCUGACCGAGCAACGCCGCGUGAGUGAAGAAGGUUUUCGGAUCGUAAAGCUCUGUUGUAAGAGAAGAACGGGUGUGAGAGUGGAAAGUUCACACUGUGGCGGUAUCUUACCAGAAAGGGACGGCUAACUACGUGCCAGCAGCCGCGGUAAUACGUAGGUCCCGAGCGUUAUCCGGAUUUAUUGGGCGUAAAGCGAGCGCAGGCGGUUAGAUAAGUCUGAAGUUAAAGGCUGUGGCUUAACCAUAGUACGCUUUGGAAACUGUUUAACUUGAGUGCAAGAGGGGAGAGUGGAAUUCCAUGUGUAGCGGUGAAAUGCGUAGAUAUAUG